GUGAGAUGUUGGGUUAAGUCCCGCAACGAGCGCAACCCUUAUCUCCAGUUGCUACCAUUUAGUUGAGCACUCUGGCGAAACCGCCUCGGAUAACGGGGAGGAAGGUGGGGAUGACGUCAAGUCCUCAUGGCCUUUAUGUCCAGGGCUACACACGUGCUACAAUGGUAGAGACAGAGGGCAGCCACUUGGUGACAAGGAGCUAAUCCUUAAACUCUAUCUCAGUUCGGAUUGAAGUCUGUAACUCGACUUCAUGAAGCUGGAAUCGCUAGUAAUCGC
rnacentral:rRNA from 1 species